rnacentral:rRNA from 1 species
AGCGAACGCUGGCGGCAGGCUUAACACAUGCAAGUCGAGCGGGCACUUCGGUGUCAGCGGCAGACGGGUGAGUAACACGUGGGAACGUGCCCUUCGGUUCGGAAUAACUCAGGGAAACUUGAGCUAAUACCGGAUACGCCCUUUGGGGUAAAGGGUUUACUGCCGAAGGAUCGGCCCGCGUCUGAUUAGCUAGUUGGUGGGGUAAGUGGCCUACCAAGGCGACGAUCAGUAGCUGGUCUGAGAGGAUGAUCAGCCACACUGGGACUGAGACACGGCCCACGACUCCUACGGGAGGCGAGCAGUGGGGAAGUAUUGGACAAUAGGGCGCAAGCCUGAUCCAGCCAUGCCGCGUGAGUGAUGAA